rnacentral:lncRNA from 1 species
CUUCAAACGCUUCACGGGAUACGUGUUGAUGAAGUAAAAUUGAUGCUGAAAAGGCUGUUUUCAGCUUCAGAAAACAAGAAAAGCGUGGAUAUGAGGGCCCUUUUCUUUGAGCUGAUGUUGAACGUGAUGAUGAGGAUGAUUGCUGGGAAGAGGUAUUAUGGGGAGAAUGUUGGGGAAGUUGAGGAGGCUAGGAGGUUUAGGGAGAUUGUAGAGGAGACGAUGAUAAUUGGUGGAGCUUCGAAUAUGGGAGAUUUCUGGCCGGUUUUGAGGUGGUUAAAAGUGGGAAAGAAGGAGAAGGCCUUGAGGGUUUUGCAGGAGAAUAGGGAUCAAUUCGUGCAGGAGUUGAUCAAGGGGUUUAGGAGUGCAAAAGAUGCAGAAAAUGGUGGCGGCGAUGCAGAGGAAACAGGGGAAAAGAAGAAAACGUUGAUUGAAGUUUUGUUGACCCUGCAACAGAAGGAGCCUGAGUAUUACAAGGAUGAAAUCAUUAGAAGCCUUAUGCUGGUAUGGUUACUCUGAUAAAUUUCUUUCUGGCUCUUCUUCUUCUUAUUAAUGUAGCUAAUUUGUUAUCAUUUCUAUGUUCCCUAGAAAAUGUCAAACUUCGAUUAAGGACAAAUUAAUAGAAAUUGAAAGUAAUUCGAAGAUUAAGUGACUAAAUCUAGAUGGCCAAAAUUUGCUUUCUUUGAGUAUAAAAUAUAAGCUUACUUCAGUUGUCGUACAGUAAUUCGAUUGCUUCCAUUAUUGUGCAAAGUUAUGAUGAAUAAGAAAAAUUCACUGGUACAGUUCAAGAAUAGAGUUGACCGCACGGUGUGAACAGGAGUAGAUCCCAACGUAUUGGGCGGGGGGCCCACUUUUCUUCGGUGUUGGCAUUUGACAGUGAAGCAGAAAGAAAGUAUGAUGUCUAGCCAACCGAUGUCUAAAGUUGGUUGACUAGAUUUUAGAAGCAAAUGUCACUGAUCAUGCUCUUCAUUCUACCGUUUACCACUUUCUUCUUCUUUUCUCAAGUGCAUUUCACCAUUGACCGCUUUCGUAUUGCAGGUUUUACUAGCAGCAGGUACCGAUACAUCAGUGGGAACAAUGGAGUGGGCAUUGUCACUAAUGCUAAACAAUCCAUCAACUUUGGAGAAGGCAAAAGCAGAAAUUGACAGAAUCAUAGGAAAAGAACGUUUAUUAGAUGAAUCAGAUGUGGCUAAUCUACCCUAUCUCCGGUGCAUAAUUAGUGAAACAUUGAGGAUGUUUCCAGCAGGGCCUAUAAUGCUACCCCACGAAUCCUCCGAGGAAUGUGUGGUUGGGGGUUACCGUGUGCCUGGGGGGACAAUGUUGAUUGUCAAUUUGUGGGCUAUCCAAAAUGAUUCCAAGAAUUGGGAGGAUCCAAGAAAAUUCAAGCCUGAAAGAUUUGAAGGGCUUGAAGGGACCAGAGAUGGCUACAAAUUAAUGCCAUUUGGUUCUGGUAGAAGAGGUUGUCCUGGGGAGGGAUUGGCCAUGCGCAUGGUUGGAUUUGCUUUGGGAUCAAUUAUUCAGUGCUUUGAUUGGAGCAGAAUCAGUGAGGAGAUGGUAGAUUUGGCUGAGGGGCCUGGACUGACUCUGCCUAAGGCUCAACACUUAGUCGCCAAUUGUCGAGCACGACCUGGAAUCAUGAGCCUUCUUUCUCAAAUUUAGACUGCGACGAGGAUGUAUCUUGACUCUUGAGAAAGGGUGGGCAGUAUUUGCCUCGUCUCUUCUUCUUGUUUGAAGAAAAAAUAUGUACUAGUAAAAAAAAAAAAGUCUUGUUUUAUAUAUUUCACUUGUUUCUUUAAGGGAAAAAAUGACGGAGUAAUUUACUUUAUAGUAGUUGCUAUUUGAUGACGCUAAUUUUUGAAUUUCCUUGUUUUAAGUUGGAAUUUUCACAGCACAAUAAUUAUACCUUGCAACUCCUAACUGAAAACAACUCAAACCAUAUAUUUAUUCAUUCUCCUAAUGUCCACACUAAGCAAUAUCUUAGUUGGCAACUUCUUGAUCCGAAAGUUUUCUUUAGUGUUGAUAAUCAAUGAGAGAUAAAAAAAAAUGAGUAUCUAAAAAUAUAAAGGUCUAUCUAUUUGGACAACCGUUCUUAAGACAUAUUUCAGAUAAAAAAAUACAAGAUUAAUUAGAAUAAAUAAAUAUAAAGAGGGGCAGGAAAGAUUAAAUAGACAAACAUAUAUAAGUACAAGGAAGGAUAAUAAUUGUAGUAAAUGUGUGUGUAUAUAUAUAUAUAUAAUAAAUUAGAUAAAUUUUAAAUGUAUUAACGAGUGUCUAGUAAACACCCGAAAAAAUCCAAAAUAUGACGAUUUUUUUCCGUAAGAAAACUCGAAUAUGAGACGUCUCAGUUGCACUUCGUCCCUAGAAACGCCCAACCAAUAUCCCUUCCCUUCUAAAGGCCGCUGCCGCUAGUGCUGAUGACCAGGGCAUGGUCGAUAUGAAAUCAGCCUUCUUCGAACUCACACUGAACAUUAUGAUUAGGAUGAUUGCUGGAAAACGGUAUUCUGGUGAUGGCUCAGGAAAAAUAGGGGGAGUCGCGAGCUUUCAAGAGAUGGUUAAAGAGAGUGUUAAAGUCAGCGGAUCAACAAAUGCUGCAGAUUUUGUUCCGCUACUGAGGUGGAUAGGGCAAAAUAAGCUUGAAAGUCAUCUGAAAACGUUGCAGAUGAAGAGGGAAAAGUUCCUACAAGAUUUGAUUGAAAAGCACGGAAGCAUCACCAGUCAUCGUGAGAACAAGACACUGAUUGAUGUUCUCUUAUCUCACCCAGAGACAGAACCAGAGUACCAUACGGAUCAAAUCAUCAGAGGCUUGGUUCAGGUGAGUCAAGUUUUAAGGAGAAUAGUAGAUCGGUCCCUCGAAAGUGCCAACAUUCCAUAAAAUCAAGUAUAUUAACAACCUAAGAGAAUCCACCUCAAGCGCUAGCUAGCUGUCAUACUUGAAGGGUAGGAUCAUAAGUUCAUAGCAUUAACUUCCCUGCUUUUUCAGCUUUUAACAAUCAGUCAAGAUAACUCAAAAGCAUGUAUCAUGUGUUAUCCGGUAUUGAUAGAGAUAAUAAAUCAAAUUUCGUCUAAUCUUAAUAGCUGAUAAUGUUAUCGGCGGGAAGUGACGCAACAUCUGGAACUAUGGAAUGGGCACUGUCAGUUCUGCGGAACAACCCAGAGGCUUUAAAGAAAGCACAAGAAGAAAUAGACUUUCAAAUAGGCCAAUCAAGGCUGAUAACUGACUCCGACCUUGGCCAGCUUCCUUACCUUCAAGCAAUAAUAAACGAAACCUUUCGUAUGUAUCCUGUGUCCCCUUUUAUCUCCCUGCAUGAAUCAUCCGAAGAAUGUACAGUUGAAGGCUUUGGUAUCCCUCGUGGGACAUUGCUCCUAGUGAACCUUUGGGCUAUUAAUUAUGAUCCUGAAAUAUGGGAAGAACCCACAAAAUUCAAACCUGAAAGGUUCAUGAACUUGGAAGAUCAGAGAUAGAGAUUCGAGUUUAUGCCAUUCGGGCUUGGCCGAAGAGGAUGUCCUGGAGAAAAUUUUGCUCGACGAGUUGUGGGGUUGGCAUUGGGUUCACUUAUUCAAUGCUUUGAGUGGGAAAGACCUGGGGAAGAAUUGGUGGACAUGAGUGAAGGAGCUGGGCAUACUAUGCCUAGAGCUCAACCGCUGCUGGCAAAGUAUAGGCCACCCCCUGAAAUGGUUAAGCUUCUUUGAGUUGUGAUCUGAGUGUUUGACAAUGUUUUCUUCCUACAACACCUAGACGACUGUGGAGAAACAAGUGAACAAGAAAACAGAGGAUGUCUCUCUGUACGUGUUUGUUUUAACUUUUAAUACUACUAUUUUAUCUCUUUCAACUUCGCUUUGUGUUGCUGCAAGAAAGUAUAAAAAAGCAAAGGGUUUACUCUAGUUUCUUGCUUUCUCCAAAGAUCCAGCAUUUUCAUGUGUGUUUCUAUUAUUUGUUAACCAAUGGUUCAGAAUUCAAUCGACGGAGAAGCAAAAUUUUGCCAAGCAUGAGAAAUUCCCAAAAUUCUGAUCAAAUUUAAAUUAUUUGUAAGAUGCUUUUGGUUGCAUGUUGUACUUUAGAGGGUCCUCACGUUCUGUAAUUUAGAGCUUUCUUGCAUUCUAUAACUGCGAGGUAAGGUAAGCAAAAUUUAAAUUGCCCCCAGGGCAUAUGGCGUAGCGGUUGAGGGGUCGGUCUUGAGUUGUUGACUUCUUCACUGAUUGGGGUUCGAUUUGUACCCGCUACGCUGCACAUCCUGACUCACCCGGGAAAACUGUAUGGAGCUAUCGGCUUCCCUCCAAUUUGGUAUGCCGGCUCGGGUCCAAAGGGUUCGGAUCGGGGCAUGUUCCGAAUUACCAAAAAAAAACUUAAAUUUUGAUCAAGUUUAUCUGCUUUGGAAAAACCCCAUUCAACAGGAGGUUGCCCACUGCAAAAAAGCACCCCUAUUGUACAAUUUUUCAAACAUCAUCAAAAUCUUGUUUUUGAGGUUUCAAAGCCGCUAAAUUGAACAUUAGCUCUGAAUCGGAUAAUUAUGUUCAAUGGUGAUGUUUUGCUGAUAAUUACUCUUUAGUUAGUCCAGUGCGCAUGUACGCAUAGUCCAUUCGAUGCCCGUGGGAAACAGGUGUUACAAGGUCCAUGCAUUUUUCAACCAAAGAUAAGUCAAAGAGCGAAUUGCGCGAAAUGUCACUAAACUAUUUCAAAGUGCCGGUUCUGAUCAUUAAACUUUUUUAUUAGCGCGAAAUGUCACUGAACUAGUAAAUCUAUACCGUUUUGGUCACUCCGUGUAUUUGUGCCGUUAGGAGAGACGGAAAUUAACUUUUUGAGGGGUAAUUUCGUCUACACAAUAGUUAAAAAAUUUAUGCCUUCAUUCUUCUUCACCCACAACCAUAGUGCUAUACCAUAUUUACAUUCCCAGCCUUCCCGUACGCAUCAAUCAUCACAGAAUAGGUAACCUCAUCCGGUUCACACCCAAAAGACGGCAUUUUUUCGAACCACUGGACGGCUUUCUCAGGUAAAGAAGACAGCCUGGCGCAGCUAAUUAUGGUGGAAAGGAGGAGUAUUGGACCAGCAAUCAAAGAAUCAAGAGAUGAAUUCGCUGAAGAAGGGUUCUUUUCGUCCUCUGGGGCUGCUGCUUGGCCUUGUACCUGUCCCAUAUCUCAUCGAGAUUGGAUGCUACGGAGAUGAAGUAAGAGGAAAAGGCAACAGCAGCAACCAAAAAAUUGGGAUGGACGAGAAUUUUGAAGUUGGAGUUGGGGUUGGGUGCUAUCUGCAACCCAUGUAAAGUUGUGGAGUGAUUUGCGAUUAAUCUGUUAAAUGUUAUUGUGCCAACUGCCAACAGAAUUGGAAUGGACAUCAAAGUCCAGUGUAGGCCGACGACGGACGGAGCUCUCUAUGCCCACCCACUUCUGCAACAAAACCACCGAACUUUACAUUUAAUUUCUCAUUCUUUUCACUCUUUCCGCAUCGUCAUUUUCGCCACUCCCAACCCCAGAGGUAUGUAAAGGUGACAUUAUCGGGCUUAACUCCUCUCUCAAUCAUAUCCGUAAACAAUUUCUCGGCUCUGUCCAAGUCUCUACAUUUUCUAAACACCUUGAAGGUAACAUUAUACAAAAUCACUUCUUUCUUCAACUUAAGCCUUUCCAGAAAGUAACUCAGCACCAAAGGCGCAGUUUCAGAGUUGGACAUGUUAUUGAGCACAACGGCAGCAUCUUGCUCUACAACUUUGCCACCCAAAUUAGCCAAAAUACUAAUAACGUCAGCUUCUACAGGGUCACACGAGUCCAAUUGUUGGGAAGCUUGGACUAAAGAAGCAUACCUGAAAUCGUAGGAAUUGCGCCUGAGCUUUGAUGCCCUGGAGCUGUUGGGGUUGACCCAGAUAUAGCUUUUUGAGGAAGAAGAGAUGGUUUUAGCAUCUGGGCGGUGAGGAAUUUGGGAAAUUGAGGGGGAUUGUUGUUGGGAAGCCGGUAUAGAGAGGGAAGGUUUUGGAUGGGGCUUGAGAGGAGGAAAAGCGAGGGCGUUAUGGGGGAUGAUUCUGAGUUGGUGGAGGUGAGUGGGAUAAAGAGAGUUACAGAAGAGGUGUGGGUGGCGAGAGAGAUGAGACGGCGAAUAGGCGGCGGCCACCAUUCUUCUCUCUACUCUUCUUCCUUCCUUCUCAGUCGUCACUCACUCAGCAGAGCAGUCAGCAGCAUUUGAAUUUUCUUCUUUUUUACAACUAUGAAAAAUUUCGCCUGCAUUUUUUGGUUGAAGUUUGAUGGUGCCGCCAUUCAGAUCAGCCAUCUCCUUUAUGUCUUUGCCGGAUACGGAACCAUUGAUUAUGUAAAAGCUUCAAGAAAAAGGCUGUGCUGACAAAUUUGCCCCUCAAAAAGUUGAUUUCCGUCUCUCCUAACGGCACAAAUACACGGAGUGACUAAAACGGUAUAGAUUUACUAGUUCAGUGACAUUUCGCGCUAAUAAAAAAGUUUAGUGACCAGAACCGGCACUUUGAAAUAGCUUAGUGACAUUUCGCGCAAUUCGCUCUAAGUCAAAAAAAUAUUUGUCUGCGGAGCGGAACUCCAUUUUCAUAUAAAAAAAAAUGCUGAAAGUCGCCAUAUCUGUUUCAGUACUACCACUCUACCAGUUCCAUCUGACAGCUCACGACCGCAAGGGGGGGAAAAAAGACAAAUAAAAACAAGGAUCUAUGUCAAUCGCAUGUUAUAUGAAAUCUUAACACAAGAUUUAAGAUUGCAAGAUAUCAGCUGAUACAAGGUGGCCUAAGCUGAAGGCGUCUUGCUCCCUAGAAGCUAUAUCACUGAAACAGCAGGGAAUUGUUUAGAAUAUUACAUUGGAUAAGCAUUUUUUUUUUUUUUUGGUAAAUAAAGAUGCAUUAAAAAUAAAUCAAGUCAACAGAGUGCAAAUUAAGGUACAGUCAUCCGUGGGGUGGAAACCCCCUUUAAGUCUUGCAAAAGUAAGGGAAGUACAAAAUUAGGACAUAAUUCAAAAAAAGUGAAGUCUUGAGUGUUGCUUCUUCCCCAGUUGGCAAGGAUGUCUGCACAUUUGUUUGCUUCUCUAUAAUUAUGGUGAAAACAUACUUUCUGGAAUGUAGUCAAUAGCUCCCUGCAAUCAAGAAUAAUAGGUGCAAGUUCAUGAGAAAUAAGAUUAUUUGACUUACACAAGGAGAAUAUAAAGGCAGAGUCCAUCUCCACUUCGAGAGAGUGGAUGUUGAGUUUUUUUGCAAGUUGUAAGCCUUCUCUAAGAGCCCAACAUUCAGCAGAAGGAACUGAACAGAAGCCUAAAUUUCUUGCAAAGCCCGCAAUCCAUAUCCCAUUUGAGUCACGAAUAAUGCCGCCAGCUCCUGCCUGGUUUGUUGGUCCAGAGACUGAACCAUCAGUGUUGAGCUUGGCGAAACCUAUAGCAGGGGGGAUCCAUCUGAUGAAUUUUUCUUGUCUAGGGGAUCUGGAGAAGUGAGAACCAGGCCCUAGUAGGCUUCUGUUCCAGAUGCACGCCUCCGAGCAAGGAUGUAAAUGAAUCUAACCAAACUGAACACCCUAGUAUUCAAGUUUAUUUGAUUAUUUUAACAAGUUUGUAAUUUUAUUCAAAUUUAAUUUAUUUAUUUAUCGAACCAAGUUUGUUUGAUUAUUUUACCGAAUUUGAACGAGCUAUUUAUUGAAGAGUGUGUUUGGAUAGGAGAUUAUUUGAAAUAUUAUUUAGAAUAAUUACUGUAGCACUUUUUGUAAUGUAAUGUAUGUAAAAUAAAAAGAUGAUUGAGAAGAUAAAAAGAUGUGUUGGAAAUUGUAUUUGUGAUGUAAGCAAAUAAUUUCUAGCCAUUAUUUGGCUAUCCAAACACACUGAAUAUAAAACGAUAUUCAAUCUUAAUUUGACUAGUUAGCAAAUCAAACUCGAAUGAACUCAAACCAAACUGAACUCGAUUCAAAUAUCAAGUAGAUUGAUUUAUCUUUCAACAUUUCGGAGUUGUUAUCCAUGUGUUUGAGAAUGUCAUCCUCCUGUAUUGUGUUUUGGUUUUUCAAGUCCCGAACGAUGUUUUUUUGUUGCAGCAAAGGAGGAAAGUUUUAGAGAGCUUAGGAUAUUACAAUAAAAUAGCAGUCAGGAGUAGCGAAGGAGGAAACAUAUGAUUCAGCCGAAAGGGGAACGAAAAGAAGAAGAAGAAGAAGAAGAAGAAGAGGAGAAGUUAUGGUUUUAAUUUAUUUGAAGAAUUGCCAUAUAUAUAUAUAUAUAUAUAUAUAUGUAUUUUAGGUAAAAGAAGAUUAUAUACUAGUAGUAGUUUGGAAAAAUAAGGAAUGCGAUCAUAAUAAGUAAAUGCAAAAAAGUUUGCCGUAAACUCCUUUGAGUGUUUGUAGUUGUCAAAGCUCUUUGUCAGGCUGCCCCCAGUGGUUCGAAAAUGUGCUGAGGACCUCUUUUGAACUAAUUUGUUACAUGGAUGGAAACCAUACGCACACCAAAAGAUUAGAAAUUUUCAUGCUAUCCCUUGUUUCUACAUUUAAUAAUAAUAAUAAAAAAAAGUGGAUGAGGCGUUGAUCUACAAAGUUGAGGUUUUAGAAUUUGGAGAUCUUGAAUUCAAUACUUAUCAAAGUGUGAGUCUCUAAACUUUGUGUUAGUAUUUAUCCCACCAUAUGUAUGUAGAUUAGUUGUAGUUCGAAAUAUUUGUAAUCUCUUAUAUUAGUCCUAUAGUUGUAGAUUAUACACGAUAUUAUCGAAGAAAAUAUUUAAAGAAGAAAAAAAAUGCAAUCUUAGUGCCCGAUAUGUAAAAUUGGUAACCACGAAACAAAUCUUGAUGAAUCCACGAAAUUCACCAUGAUCCCAAUAUAUGGGAAGAACCCACGAAAUUUAAGCCUGAAACGUUUGGGGGAUUCGUGUUUAUGGCAUUUGGGUAUGGUCAAAGAGCAUGUCUUGGUGAAAAUUUAGCUAGACAAGUUGUGAGGUUGGCAUUGGGCUCACUCAUUCAAUGCCUUAAUUGGGAAAGAAUUGGUGGAAAUGAGCGAAGGAGCUGGGUUUACUAUGCCAAGAGUUCAACCGCUGCUGGCAAAGUACAGGCCGCGCCCAGAAAUGGCUUCUUUCUGAGUUGUGAUCCUGGUGUUUUGGGAAUGUUCUUUGCCACCUGCACCACUGGGGAAUCGACUGUACGAGGAAAACAGAGGAUUUCCCACUGUAGUGCGUGCGUACCACGUUGGCUUACCACUACUUUUUAUAUUUUACCUUCACUUGGUCCAUAAUUUUUGCAGCUCAAGGAUGUGAAAAAGUCCGUGCCGUCCUGAUUCCAUUGUAAUGUAAGCUGGUCAAAGCUACAAGCCGGUUAUAUACGACGCUACUCCAAGAAAGGAGAAAAAUAUAAGCAAAGCAAGGAGGCCGUAAAGGAUGGAUAUCAGUAGCAGAUCAUUGACAGAUAAGAUACUAAUAUUCAAGAAUGAGAGGGCCGUAUCCCUUACGUCAAAGGAGUUUUGAAUCUUGAUUACUGAUACAUUCUUGAAAUAACAAUAAUGAAUUACUAGAUAAAAUAGGCAUACGGCAUAAGUAUCAUUCCAACACUUUGGAUUUAACCUCGAUCUCUAUGGAUGCUUCAUACUGCUACCUCCUGCUUUUUCCCUUCCUGUAUUUACUUACCAAUCAAAUCAUCAAAAAGUUCCGGAAUCUCCCACCAAGUCCACCUCUUUCCUUACCCAUAAUUGGCCAUCUUCAUCUCAUCCAGAAACCACUCCACCGAGGACUAGCUAAGAUCUCCGAUAAAUAUGGUCCAAUACAGUUUCUUCAUUUUGGUUCUCGGCCUGUCCUGCUUGUAUCUUCACCCUCAGCUGCAGAAGAAUGCUUCACCAAGAAUGACAUAAUCUUCGCUAAUCGGCCAAGAUUUCUCGCCGGAAAACACCUUGGCUACAACUAUACAACUCUGGGAUGGGUCUCAUAUGGCCAACACUGGCGCAACUUGAGAAGAAUAGCUACUGUGGAGAUCUUAUCUGCUACCCGAAUUCAAGCUUACACGAGCAUCCGUGUUAACGAGGUCCAUUCAUUGAUCAAGUACCUUCUAAUGGCCUCUAAAGCUAGUGACUCUAGCACGGUUGAGAUGAAAUCGGCCUUCUUUGGGCUGACACUUAACAUCAUGAUGAGGAUGAUUGCAGGAAAGCGAUACUACGGCGAUGAUGCCCAGAACAAGGAGGAAGCCGCAAGGUUCAAAGAGAUAGUUAAAGAGACUUUUCAACUCAGUGGGGCGACAAACAUAGCAGAUUAUAUUCCAUUAUUGAAGUUUUUUGGGCAACAGAAGCUUGAAAGCAAGCUGAAGACUUUGCAGGCGAAGAGGGAUCAAUUCUUGCAAGAUUUGAUUGAAGAACACAGAAGAACCGUGAGGAGUUCCGACAGUGAGAAGGGCAACAAAACAAUGAUAGACGUUCUCUUGUCCCUCCAACAGACCGAGUCCGAAUACUACACAGAUGAGAUCGUCAAAGGUAUGAUUGUGGUAAGUAACUAUUUAAUCCUCUCGAUAUCUUAAUCCAUCCGUCUGUUAAGCAUACAGAAAUUCUGAUCUUUGUCUGGGAUCAGUCCCAUGAAGGAUUGAGUCUGAAAAUCUAAGUCAAAGCUAGUUUGAUUGCACUAGUACCAUCUCCGUGUUGCCUUGCAUUUUUUAUUGAGCUGUAAUGCUAUGUUUCCUACACGUAACAAUUCUAGGGAUAAUUUCAGAAACCUCCCCUGAGAUUUCUAACAGUUUCACUGCCCUUCUCCGAGGUUUCUAAAAUAUCAGAAACCUCCCCUACUAGGUCAUUGGGGUCCAAUUGUCACAUCAAUCAUGGAAGAAUGACUUAAUUACCCAUACAACUUAAGAGGUAUUUCCCAAUUAUGUUCACAUGAUUAGUUAAACUGUUAUUAACUAGAUUUAACAGAAAUGAUGACAAUUUAUAAGUUUUUUUAAAAAAUUUCUAACAUGCCAUUACAAAAAGGGGGCCAUAUAUAGGCACCUUUCUAUGAUUGAUAAUUGAUGUAUGCGAGUAGAAGCAAUGAUUCAAACUUUAGUGUUUUUUGUGGAAUAAGAGAAAUAGAGCUUCUUUAGGUAUAUCUAAGGAUUUAGGAGAUUUGAAAAGGAGAUUUGCUCUUAAAUUUUUUUCAAAAUUUUGGUGAUUGUGAAAAUUUCAAGAUCAGCCUCUAAGAUUUUUCUGCUAUUAAAUUUUGGAAAUUUUUAUUAUUUGAUUGCAGUUGUUAAGGUAAUUCUUGAUGGUGAUGCUUAAUAGUGACCCUACAAGUGAAAAAGAAUAGUUUGGAUCAAACAAAAAAAGGAAAAUAUGAUUUUAUGUAGUUUGUAUUAUGUUCGGUAUGAUCUGCUCCAUUUGAUGAUUGGUAUUUAAUUAUAGUGUUUUUUCUUUUUUAUCCUAAUUAUUACUUUUAUUGUCAUCGAAAUUAGGUGCUGGUUUUGUAUGAAAUAUACGUAAAGAUUGUUGGUUGUAUGCUACUAAAUUGAAAAACCUUUUAAUUAUGACAAUUUUUUUCUUGUUUGUGAUUAUUCAACAAAUGUUUUUUUUUAAAUCGAAAUGUUGGUUGUAAUAGGAUUCACAUGCUUUGUUUCUCUUGUAGGAGAUUAUGCAAUUGAUGUGUUAUAAUAGAUGUAAUAGUAUGAUAUUACACAUGCAAUAUGUAGAUAAGAUUUUGAGUUGCUAAACUUGUUGUAGAGUUAGUAAAUUGAUAUUUUGUUUACGCUCUAUGAAUACGGUAACAAUUACACCGUCUCAAAUUUGAUAAAGUUAAAAUAGAUAUAUAUUGUUCGUAGGAAAUUAACUAUCUAAUGCAAAACUUGAGGGUAGUUAUGGAAUUUGACAGGUGCCGAACUUGUGCAAUAAUAAUUACUAAAAAGUCCUAAUUACCAUCACAAUUAAUUAUAGAACGAAUUCAAGUACUGGAGCAGGACCCUAGGUGAGCAAUGGGUUACUUGAUUCACCAUGUUCCCAAAGAGUUUGCUUGAUCCGAUAUACCAGAAUUGUCUAUAAAAAUACUAAGUUUGCAUACAAUGGCAAGUAGGGUCGAUUCCACAAGGAACGGGUAGGAAGUUGUUUCCUUCCAAGUCAAUAGAAUAAAAAAGAGGGACAAUUAAUGGGAUGAAACUAAAAAUAAAAUAAAUAAAAUUCAAGAGCUAACUCAACAACAAUUUAGUAAAAAUAGCAAUUAAUAAAAUUCUACCCAAAUGAUUAACUGCUCAGGCACGGUCCAAUUAAAUGAUCAUCGAUGCAAAGAUAUUUCAUUCAUCUGUCAUUAGGUUGGUUAUAGCUAUCAACAAGCUUUGACAACCAGUUCUUCCUUACUUUUUCGACAGUCAAGGUACGACCAUUGACUGUUUCUCUAACCAGAAAACAACUCUAGGUACGACCGUAAGAAUUUAAUUAUCCAAUUGGAUUAAAACUAGAAGAACCCAACCCUGAUCAAUAAGCACGCUAAGAGGGUUUAUUUAAAUCAGAUCUUACGUUUCUCCAACAUAAAGCCAAUUAUGGUGGUUGUUACUAGUUGUCAACUAAACGAAUAAUUACGGAUUCAAUUUAAUUAACGUGGCAGUAGGCUAUUAUGUUAAAUCAAAUACCCGACCGUUGAUAUCCAAUUAAUAAAAUACUCAUGAACAAUUAAUUCAGGAAACGUACGAAUAGCAAUAAGUUGGAAGAAAUAAUGAAAAUUCGAUUAGAUGUUACAGAUAUUAUGAACCGUGCUUUCGCGUCGACCUUCGGGUAGAGGAGAAAUCUAGCCGCUCCUUAUCAUAUCCAUCUCGCGUGAUUUAAUUGAAACCAUUCAAUUAAUUCCCGAAAAAUUGGGAAAGAUGAAACAACGAGGAAAACGAAUAAAAGGGCUUAAGUAUCUCUUGGUCUCUGUGUUUGUACUGGAGCAAGAAAGUAAAAGUAAAGCACUAGAGAAAGUCGGCUGCCAAAAGACAAGAGCCAAGCCGCCCGUAAGAAAUUGUCUAAUAGGAAGAGACAAAAGCUACAACUAUGAAGGUCGCGUGAUUCUGGCUUCUUAAUUGCUGCCGAAGAGAAAAAAAGGAAAAGAAAACGUCUGACACUAAAAAGCAAAAGCUAAUCUAAUUACAAAGACGUAAAUCUGGCUUUUUUCCUCUCUUUUGUAGCGGCGCCAGGAGAAAUCCACGAAAGGUCAGGAGCAAAGCUUUUCUUUUUGGGGUUUUAAUCCCAUGCCUCUCGUGGUUCACGUGGACCCAACCUCCUAAUUGCUCACUUUUUGCUGCCACCAAGCUCGCGGGUCCGGCUUUAGAUAUAUCUCCUCACUUUCUGGCGUGGCACGUCAUGAAACAAAGAGUCUUUUGGAAAUUUUUCUCGCGCGAUCACUUUUAACACCAAUCACCUACAAUUGAUACAAAUAUGAAAUAUGAGCAAAUUCUCAAUUCUUAGCAUCAUGAGUAGCCAAAAUUAGGACAGAAUAAUAGUGCAAAAUAUGCCCAAUAAUUGCUCUAUCAGAAUUAAAUUGUUUUCUCUCUUCUAAUACCAAUUUUAUAUUAUUUUUGUAUUUGAAUUGGGCUGAUUGUUACUAGCUAAUUAGCUUUAGGGGUGGUUUCCGAUAUUUUGAAAACCUCAGUGAGAUUGUCAAAAACCUCAGGGGAGGUUUCUGAAAUUAUCCCAUAAUUCUAUCUACGUCUAAUACUAUUUAUACUAAGAGGGUUGCUCACGAUAAAUGUUCUAACAUUAUCAUACACCUCCUCUUAUCCCUUCAUUUGUAUUUCUAUCUUAUUUACAGAAUCAAGAUAAUAGUAUAAAAAAUUCAAUCCCAUUGUACUAUUGAAUCAUGACGUGCAGGAAAAAAGGAAGAAGUAAAGAUAAAACGAAUGAGUAGCACAGUAUUCACCUUUAAUCCAUGCUUUAGACUAGCAGAAAAUAAUGCAAAUUUUGUCAACAGCAAAUGUUAUCAGCGGGAACCGACACAUCAUCCGGAACAAUGGAAUGGGCACUCUCCCUGCUGCUCAACAAUCCACAAGUUCUAAAGAAAGCCCAGCAAGAAAUUGACGCGUACGCUGGCCAAUCAAGGCUUAUCAAUGACUCGGACUUGGGUCAGCUGCCUUAUCUUCAUGCAAUUAUUAGUGAAACACUUCGCAUUUGCCCGGUGGCCCCUAUUCUGGUGCCUCAUGUGUCAUCCCAAGAGUGUUGUGUUGGAGGCUACAAUAUCCCCGGUGGCACGUUGCUGUUAGUGAACUUAUGGGCAAUGCAAAAUGAUCCCAAGGUUUGGGAAGAACCCACAAAAUUUAGGCCUGAGAGGUUUAUAAGUUUGGAAGGGCAAAGAGAUGGAUUUGUGUUCAUGCCAUUUGGGUUUGGCCGAAGGGGAUGUCCUGGCGAAAAUUUGGCCAUGAGCGUUGUGGGGUUGACAUUGGGGUUGCUUAUUCAAUGUUUUGAGUGGGAAAGAGUUGGGGAAGAGUUGGUGGAUAUGACUGAAGGGGCAGGGCUUACCAUGCCAAGGGCUAAAGAAUUGAUGGCCAAGUGUAAACCACGGCAAGAAAUGGUCAAACUUCUUUCUCAAUCGUGAUUGGGAUUUCAGAAGUUGGUACCUCUAAGAAAAAAACCCAUCGCAGUGAUGACAACAUUGUGAACAAAGUGUGCUUGUUUUGCCAUUAUUUUUGUGAUUCUAUACCUUCUUGUAUGUGGAAUAAAGGAUUUGAUUAAAAGUUUAAAAUACGGUUAGAGACACCUUAUUUUAAUUUAGUACGUUUUAUUGUAGGAAUAGAUGCAUAUGCAUACCUUUUUAUUUUGAUAGGUGAAAAUAAAACAACAAAAAAAAGACUUACAAAUAUGUUAGAUCUUCAAUGUUCAUGAAUAAAACUCUCUCUCUUUUUUUUUCACUUUUACUUCCUUUUGGAAAAGAAUUAAAACUCUUCUUUUUUUUUUUUACAGUUUUUUAUUUGUUCAUGAUGUGGGAGGUCUAUGUUCAUUUGAAAUCAAGAGCUCACCCCAACUUUUGUAGAAACUAGAGGGGAAGUUAGUGUAGUUUACCAACAAGAUACGUGUCUACUUACUUGAAUAACCAGUAAUAAGAUUUAAGGAAGAAAAACUUGGGCUACUCCAGUUAGCAAUGCCCAAGUAUCAAAAAAUGAAGAGCCCAAAUUCAUGUGAAAAUGUAUACAUGUUCUUGGUUAAUUUCACAAUAAACUUGUAAUCCUUUUUUUUGGCAAUUCAAAUUAAAUUCCAUUUUGCCUUUGGAUAUAACCAAGAGUUAUGUCCCUUUUAAUGAAUCUAGUAUAUUUUGGAGGGCUUUACUACUUCAAAUUUUUUUUUAAAAAUUUUAUCAGUAGUAAUCAUGAAAAAUAAAUCAUUUUCAACUAUGUAGUACUGAAAGAAACAUGCGACAGAAAAGAGUGGCAUCUCCAUAUAUUUUCUGAGCGUCAAAAUAAAAUUAUAAACUUUCUACCACUAACUCUUUUAUCUAAACCAUGCAAUUUUGCGUGCAUCAAAAUAGCGUAAUUAUUCAGUUUUCGUGUAAGGAAAUGAAAAUCUUAGGACUUGCUAGGAAAAACAUGGCGGUCUGGCUUCAGUGAAAUAUUUUUGCUAGAAAAUGUCGACUAACUUACCUACCUUUUAAUUCUUAUACUCUUUUCGUCCCAUUGAAAGUGUUAUACUUUUAUUUUAGAAUGUCUCAAAAUAUUUGUUCUGUUAAUAAAGUCAAAAUAUAUUUUAGUCUCUCUCUUCAACAUAGUUCAUCUCUCUAAUCAUAUACACGUUACCAUUCAAAUUCAAAUGUUGAAUUUGUAGGAAUAAAAUUGAAAAGAGAAGCACAAACAUCACAAUCAAACCACUAUUUUUAAAAAGUUUGAUUUUUGAAACAGAACCAAAUAAUUAGGACGGAAGGAGUAUAAACUAAAAUGAAAAAGGAAGUCUAGUGAUAAUUGAACCGUCAAAUAUCAUAAACCUUUUCAUAAAAUUGCUGGCUGAUCAGUAUAGCAAGUAGAUGAUGAUGCUUGUGUAGUUGCUAUCAUCCUUAGGUAUGAAAUUUUUCAUGAAGACCCCUUAGUAAUAAGUUUCUGAAUAGCUUCCCACAAAAGUUUCCGGGAGGUAAAUUAACAAUCUUUUGCAUUACUUUGGCCCCGGAGACAUGACAAUAAUAUCUUAGACGAAAGAACUUAGCCCCGACAAAUAUCAUGAACUUAUUGACAAUAGGUGGCUUAAUUUGUAAGAAAUAAAAAAUUAUUUAAAAAUAAGAAAAAAAAAUUAUUUAACGAAAUGCAAGUAACAUCUUGAACGAUUUUUCCUUAUUAACUCACAAAGUUAAGUUCCACUGUGGUACUUGCCAAUGGAACAAAGUUGACAGCAAAUCUUGUUGGUUGAAUGAGUCUCCUGACACAGCGUAUUAAGCAAUAAGCAUUCAUUGGUAUACCCAAACCUAUUACUCUGUAUAAGUGUACGUAUCAUAUUCACCCGUACCGUACGUCUCUUUCUACAUUUAGACACUCCCAUAUUUCUAUAUUAAUUUCACUUUUGCUAAAGGAUUACUGGGUAAAGUGUAAAGCACGGCAAGAAAUGGUUAAACUUCUUUCUCAAUUGUGAUUUGUGGGACUGUUUAACUGUCAAAAUUAAUGUGAAAACGUAUGAGAAAGUAGAAUCCUCGAAAUCCUUUAUUUUUUCAAAAUUUAGUUUUUUAAAUACUAAAAAUUUUUAAAAAUACUCUAAAAAGUAAUCUAAAUUUUUUUAAUGUUUAAAAAAUAUUCCAAAAUAUAUUUUAAAAACUCUACUACUCUUAAAUAUUUCAAAAUAUUUUCUAAAAAUAUUUCAAAAUAUACUCUAAAAACUCUGCUACAGUAAAGUUUUCAAAAAAUAUCUCAAAAAACAGCUAAUCCAAACGGAGUAAUUGAUAAACCCUAAGACAUUUAGAUGGUGAAGAAAAAGUAAAAUUAACACCACUCUUUUAACUGUUGGAAUACUUUCAAGGUACUAAAUUAUACCUUCUUAGUACCACUCGAAAGAAAGAAAAACAAGCCUUGGAAAGAAAUAGUAUCUAGAAUAAAUCUACUGCACAAUUUGGGAAUUAUUCAUCAUUCGAUCAAGUGAUGAAUAAAUCAUACGCAAGUUCAUGUAUUAGCAGAUUAAUUAUUGAAUCUAUUCAUAAAUCAGAGGAUUGCGACACAAGGAAACUUGCAGAAUUGGACAACUAUAUGGUCCCGAAGAAAAGAAAUUGACUUGCUUCAAGAUUUCCACAAACUUGGAGCGGGGGGCGAGUGGUGACGGACGACUAAGGAACUCAAGAAAGUUAAAAUAGCCAAUUACGCAAAGUUUUGGAUCCAUUAGUUGAUUGACUGACUUCUAUUGCUAGCCGGUCAAUGCCCCCUUUUAUAAAUCAACAAGAACUUUUCCAUGGAAAAUGUGUCUCUCAUUUUGGCCAAAAUUUCCGAAUCAAUACCUUCAGUCUCCGGUCAAAUGAAGUCGUAACUUGAUAAGCUUACAAGACUUUCGUUUUCCUUCUAGAAAAAAAAAAAGAAUAAAAUAAUUCCCUUGCCCUUCAACAACCUCAACAAUAAGGUUCACUAUGAGAGAAAUUUUUUUUCCAUCUAACACACUUACGUUACUCCUAAUUCAUUGCAUAAAUACGUACAAUCACAGUUAUUGAACUUAGUAUAUUUUAGUAAUUUUUUAAAUUAAUUAUCUUAUUUUUAAAAAAUUAAUACCUGAGACUCUUAUUAACGAGUGUCGACUGAAUACCUGAUAUCAAACCGAUCGAUGCUGUAGAUAGAGAAUGGUUGUUUGCAUGGAAACCAAAUCUUUUUUUUUUUUUUUUUAUUUGCUCCUUCCCCUCUUAUACAACCACCAUAUGUAGAAAGUUGAGUUCUUGGAAUCCUCCAGUGACACAGGUAUGCUGGUAAGCAAAGCACUUGAAUAUCUUCCAGAAGAAAGAUAUGUCGCGCAGCCUUAAUUGACGAAGUAAUCUCGUCAACUUUUUUUUUAAAAAUUUUGUACUGUAUAGAAAUUCCCCGGAGUUGGAGGGGCAGUUGCUUCUAAUCAAAAUAUGCUUCACACUUCACGCCACACGCACACGGUUAGGACCAGAAGUCUCAUAUGCCCUUUUCGGUGCAUUUCGUCUAAAUUCUUUUGUAGCGUGAGAAUUUAUUUAUUUAUUUAUUUUUUAAAAAUGGCUACCUAUUUUUAUUGCUUAAUUAACGAUGCUUUCGGUGCGUUUGAGUUUUCAAGAAAAUGAAUUUGAAGAGUAACAAACAUUAAGAUUAUUUGAAAUAUAUUAUUUUUUUUAAAAAUACUGUAUGAGAUAAAAAGUUGAUGCACUGACAGUAUAUACACUUUUAUCAUUAUUAGAUGCAUGACACAUAAUUUGAAUUUAAAUUUGAAACUCAAAUUUUGCAUAUGUGUCGUAUAUCCAACCGUAAUAGUGUAUACAUCGUUAGUAUACAUAAGAUUUACUCUUUGAAGUUUUAAUCUAUCCUUUGGUUUCCCAUUCUCGUGACAAAAGCACAGCUGCGCGAAUCAGUAAAAUUGGACGUAGUAAUUUGCUGUAAUGUGCAAAACCGAACUUACCUCCAUUUAGGGUUCUUGUCUAUAGAUUGACCAUGUGGUUCGGCAACACUUUUAGUGCAAAAAUUUUCAGCAUGCAACAGUCGUCCAUAGCUUAAGUGAGUUAGGCGCAGCACAUUGUUUGGCCCCGUUCCAUAUGACUUCAUUUCGUUGCCAACUUUUCUUGGAGGACUGGAAUCUCAUUAAAUAGAUCCAGCACGAUUGGUCCACGACAAUUAUUUGGUUCUGCUUUGCUGUCGUGAACUUGUGCAUUGAUUCUGUGCUUUAAUUUCUCUUGAUUUGUAGAAAAUUUGCUAGUUUUUAACUGCAAGAUUUUGUUACUCCGAAGAUUUUUAAUUUUUAUGCAGGAAAAAAAAACGCACUUCCAAACUCUGGGUACAAUAUUUGAAAAAAAAAAAGGGUAGAUGACAGGUAAGCUAAGUAGUGGUUUAGUGCCACUAUUGAAAUGUAAAAACCUCCAACCCUACACUUUUCCGACCCAUGCACCGCUCCCCGUGCCCGAACCCAAGAAGAUUUGUACAAGAAAACAGAAAAACUUUGGUGGGGUCUUGCUCGCACUAAUUUGUCACGAUUAAAUGUAUUCUUGUUUAAAAAAUUCAUGCAGAUGUGUAGUGCAUUCGUCUGAUCUGGUGGUGAUUUAAUCCUCUUCGAAUUAUUCUUGAACCUCUUCAGGUCCUAUUCCUCCUCCAUACUAUAGGAAGUUAUCGUAUCGAAAAAAAAAAAACAGAAAAAUCUCAACUCAUUAGCCUUAUUUAAUUUGAUUUGAAGCAUAAUUUUCUUGAAGAAGAGGGGCCGGGCCACACUGAUUGUAUUAGAGCAUCCACAAUGCUAUUACACUUUGUGGAGUGUAAUCCACAUGCCACGUCAGCAUUCCACUUUCUCCUCUUUUAUUACACUUUCACUCACAAUGGAUUACACUCCACAAGGUGUAAUAGCAUGGGUCCACAAUUAAUCAAAUAUUUAUUUUAAUAAUGCAUAACUCAUAUCCCAUAAAUAAAUAAAGUAAUUUUUAAAACUAAUUUUGUUAUUUUUAAAAAAUAAAGUACUAACUUUCGUUAAAUUUUGUACAUUUUGAAUUUUUUUAUUUUCUAAAAAUGAUAUUAUUAAUUUUUAAGUUUGAAUAAUAUAUCUUUUUCUAUGUUUCAAAAAUAAUAUAUUGUUAUUUUUUAAAAAAUAAUUAUGUAGGAAAUUAAACAAAUAUUUGAUACUUCAAAUGCGAAGAUAUCAUAAUAAUUCAUACUUAAUUAAUAAUUCGGAAUGUAAUUAGUUGAACUCCAUAACAUAAUAUUACAUAAGUUAAAUCAAAUAAAAUACAAAUAAUAACAAAAUGAAUACUAAUUUUCAUUGUCAUUGCCUUCGAAUCGUUCCCAAAUAUGCUCGACCAAGUCUGAUCGAAGUUGAUCGAAGUCUGAUCCCAAAUAUGCUUUGUGCUGGAAUUUUAUCGUUGUCAUAGGGCCCACAUUCAAUGGAUUACACGCAUCAUACAUGUGAUGCGUGUAAUCUCCAUGACACGGCUCCAGCGGUGUAAUGGCUCCCCGUUACUGAUUACACCCCCAUUGGAGCUGCCCUUAUGUAUAGUAUAGCUCGUAAUGGUUUUAAUCUACUCAUAACAAAUUCACUCUCCCAAACUCAAAAGUCAUCUUUGUAUAUAGAAUUUAGCCAACGAUUAUAAUUGCACAUUUUAAUAGGAAGUUUCAUAGGCUGGCUGUCAAUUGCAACCUUACAAGAAAACGAGAUGAAGACCACUCAGAGUCACAAGUCCAACAAUAAAUCCACUAACUCUCAUUAAUUAAACCCCAUCCAUCAUUCAAUCCCAAAUAAACCAGCAAGAAAUCCGCAACUAUCCAUGGAAGCCUUGUGUCUCUACCUUCCACUUUUCCUAGCAUUAUACAUCUUCACCAAGCACUUCCUCAACAAAAUCCGAAACCUUCCACCUAGUCCCAUCCUUAAUCUCCCCGUCCUCGGCCACCUCCUCCUCAUCAAGAAGCCUCUUCACCGAGGCCUAGCCAAGAUUUCCAACCGUCAUGGCCCGGUCCUCCUCCUGGAAUUCGGCUCACGCCCAGUCCUCCUUGUCUCCUCCCCUUCCGCAGCCGAAGAAUGCCUCAACAAGCACGACAUCGUUUUCGCCAACCGCCCGCGUCUGCUGGCUGGAAAACAUCUGGGAUACAAUUAUACCUCAAUGGCAUGGACGUCCUACGGGGAUCACUGGAGAAAUCUACGGCGGAUAGCUUCACUGGAGAUCUUGUCUUCCCACAGGCUUCAAACGCUUCACGGGAUACGUGUUGAUGAAGUAAAAU